UCAUCUCAAACCUUUCGCUUCUGAUUGCAAAGGUCUUGUGUUCGGCGAAGUCGUCUAUCGAGGCGGCGGUAGCUGAACCUGGACUUGGAAGUGUAUUGGUCUUGGACUUGAGCGUCUCGUCGGUCCGCUUGGAUCGACCCGCUUGAAAUGUAUUAGCUGGCGACCCGCCUUACGGUUCCACUCGGCGUAGUAAGUCUUAUUCGUCGAGGACGCCUCUUUGAGGUGGCCUAUGGGUUUGGUGUGAUGCCGCUUCCAGUCGUCUUUGGACAGUCUUGAAC
rnacentral:misc_RNA from 1 species